GUGGCAACUCAGUCGGGUCUACUUCUACGCUGUGGAGGCUUUGUUUUCUUUUGCUCUUUGCAGUAAAUCUUGCUGCUGCUCACUCUUUGGGUCCGCAGUGCUUUUGUGAGCUGUAACACUCACCUAGAAGGUCUGCAGCUUCAUUCCUGAGCCAGCGAGACCACGAACCCGCCAGGAGGAAGAAACUCGGAACACAUCCGAACAUCAGAAGGAACAAACUCCCAACACGCCGCCUUUAAGAACUGUAACACUCACCGCGAGGGUCCGCGGCGUCAUUCUUGAAGUCGCUGAGACCAAGAACCCACCAAUUCUGGACAUAAAUGCAUCAUUGCAUUCCAGCCUGGGUGACAGAGUGAAACCCUGUCUCAAAAAUAAGCUUCCAUUGAUGACCAGCUUUGGCUGUUCCAACUCACCACAGCCUCUGAAAGACCCAUGCUCUCUUUGGAUUGCUUUGUACCUGCAGCACGUUUCCAUGCCUGGGAGGAAGAAUAAGAGUUAAGUGAACAGCUUACUCUUACUGGAACAUUCCAAUGCUCUUACAGAUAAUAACUAAGUGAAUGAAAACAAAAAGUUCAGGCAUUCACUGGCAAAAUCCAACUCUGAACAGGUAUGGAGGUGGGUCUGGAUUUGGCUCAACAUUUCACUUCCCUACUCGUCUGAAAUGCACCUCAGAGCAAGGGAGGCAGCAAUCAGGUAAGGCAUGUCAUGGUGAGAGUACUUUGGUCACCACGGGAAACACAACCAACCAAGUGUUUUGCCAAGAGACACAGAUCUGAACGCUCAUCACAACACUGCACGGCUCAUUCAGUGCAGGUUGCCACAGAUCUACAGACAAUCACAUGGUUAAUGAAAAUCCAAAACAGGACCAACAGGAUGACACAUUUUCUGUUCUUAAUGCUCAUUGCCAUUAUUGCUAGAUCUCACUCUGUAGCCCAGGCUGGAGUGUCAUGGCCAGAUCUCGGCUCAAUGCAGCUUUGACCUCCCCAGCUCAAGUGAUCCUCCCACUGCAGCCUCCUGAGUAGCUGGGACCACAGCUAUGCUCAGAAAUCAGGACUGUCAUUCAGAUCUCUGGUUCACUUCUUCAAUGAGACGAGUGAUGGUCUUUAAAAGCCAGACGCUGUGGCCUGCUGUCGGGGCUACCCACCUCCACUCUGCCUUGUUGUGUAGGAAUGAGUUACACUUGUCAGGAAGGCUCGUGUCAUUUGACAUGGACUCCAGGAUUGAAAUGAUUUGCUUGAAUGAUGGCCGUUUCUGAAGAAGAGAAAAUAAGUAAUCAUUCGUUGGGACUUAAGAAAGGAGAUGUUUAAGAGAAAACGUAGAUAUUACAAGCAUAGUAAGGACCACAAGUCUCAGAAGAGUAGGAAGUGCCCAGCAUCACACAGGAAGCAAGUUACAGAACCAAGGGCUCUGUUCGUAAACUCUUCAACAUCUUUUGUCACAUAAGGGCUCAUAGGUCCAACUAACUGAAAGCCUCAAUUUGUGGGAAGAAGAGAAGCGAGGCUGGGGACAUAGCACAAACGGUGUUUACGCCACUGAAGUUCUUUUGAAAUGGAAAGGCUCUGCAUGAAGAAGCGAACAGUUAUGCCACUGCCUCGCCAAUUCCAGUGAGGAGCUCAUCUUCAAUGUAGUGUUCAACGUAGGUGGCAAAACUGUAAUUUUUCCCUUUUUUGAAACUAUUUUUUCUUCUUUUAUUUUUGAAAUUCUCAUCUAAGCGACAGUUUCUUGUACUAUAGUGACUCCUGCUGGGAGAGGUAAGUUGAAGUAGCUGAAGGUCUCUUACAGAUAUAUCAACUCCCGGCCAGUAAAAAAGAUGUCCUAAACGCAGGAGAUGGAGUUAAACUGUUCCCCUACCUUGGACGCAAUGGCUUCUUUCAUCACUAAGAACAAACCCCUAGGUUUUACAAUUGAGACUGAGAAACUAGUACAGUACUUGUACAAUUUUUGAUCUACAGCAUCACGACGUGAAGCUGCAACAAUUAGAUGUAAAGGGUCCAUUCAUGAGGAAUAACAUCACUUUGACCCUUUGUGUUAGCUCCUACUGCUAAUCUUUCCAUAAGCGUGAACUUACUUUCAAUUUGAAGAAGAUGAAAAAGUCUUUUGCAAAACCCCAAUACUGUUUUCUGAUCUAUGUACCUGAAUGGAGAAACGUAGUCUUACCUCGUUUUUUUCCACUACAAGCCAAGCUACUUGUAAUCCUUCCAAACCUUUAAAGGGGACCUCCCUUGUUAGCAUCUCCCAGAGAACCUGGAACAAAAAGAAAAUGGAAUUUUUAUUCUUGUACUUUAUAUUUUUUGGUACAUAUUACUGAAACUUUAUCUAACAUGUAAUUGUAUCUAAUUACCAGACACAACCAACCCCAUCUGUAGAAACUUGGGCAAAACAAUUAUGCUCAUGCACACAACUUCUUCCAUAUAUUAAAUACUUUUUACGUUCUUUUUUAUAAAGAAAAAACCUGGUUUAGAAAUUAGGACGUCUAGAGCCAGACUUAAAAUUUUAUGAAACCAAUGGGCCUGACUGAUUUAAUGUCAUCUCAUAAAUUAUCAGAAUUUUUAUGUUCUCACAAA
rnacentral:antisense_RNA from 1 species